rnacentral:rRNA from 1 species
CCGAGCACUCUAAAGGGACUGCCUGGGAUAACCAGGAGGAAGGCGGGGGAUGACGUCAAGUCAGCAUGGCCCUUACGUCCAGGGCUACACACGUGCUACAAUGGUCGGUACAGAGGGAAGCAAUACCGCGAGGUGGAGCAAAUCCCAUAAAGCCGGCCUCAGUUCAGAUCGGAGGCUGCAACUCGCCUCCGUGAAGGCGGAAUCGCUAGUAAUCGCGGAUCAGCAGGCCGCGGUGAAUACGUUCCCGGGCCUU